GGGAGUUUGUGUCCAUGUUUUUCUAGUACUUCUGCUUCUAAAGCGUUGAGGACUAGCCUACUGUACAUCAGUGGAUACUAAAACCUUUUUGUGCAGCCGGCGGGCUCGGGCGAUAAUACAUUGUACUGGUACUGACAUUUAGAUGUAGCAUCCAUCUUCUGGGGUAAAACGAUGACGUCUGCUAAAGUUAGACAAACGAGGCACCUCAAAAUGUUUUAGAAACAUUGUUCACUUAAAGCCGUACGACAUGGACACUGUACAGCACACUUCCAAAGACAUGAACACUGCGUACAGAGGCUUCACCAUGCCGACGGGAAGAGAUGGCACGAGGAGGGGUAUGGCUGUUAGAGAACAGUCACAUGACAGGAAGAAGGAAAUGGCCUUUUUCAAAAAACAGUCACAUGACAGAAAAAAAACGAAAAGCACUUGGAAGACGACAACAUGUGACGGAGAAUUAAUUCUGAGGACUAUUGUUAUUUGGUUCUGGUUGUAGAGAGAAGAGAUAUAUAUAUAUAUAUAAAAAUUUAAAGAACGCAUGCAUGGCAUUUUGCACAUGGAACACAACUUUAAAGGGG
ensembl:lncRNA